rnacentral:rRNA from 1 species
GACGAACGCUGGCGGCGCGCCUAACACAUGCAAGUCGAACGAGAGAUGAGGAGCUUGCUCUUCAGAUCGAGUGGCGAACGGGUGAGUAACGCGUGAGGAACCUGCCUCAAAGAGGGGGACAACAGUUGGAAACGACUGCUAAUACCGCAUAAGCCCACGGCUCGGCAUCGAGCAGAGGGAAAAGGAGUGAUCCGCUUUGAGAUGGCCUCGCGUCCGAUUAGCUGGUUGGUGAGGUAACGGCCCACCAAGGCGACGAUCGGUAGCCGGACUGAGAGGUUGAACGGCCACAUUGGGACUGAGACACGGCCCAGACUCCUACGGAGGCAGCAGUGGGGAAUAUUGCACAAUGGGGGAAACCCUGAUGCAGCGACGCCGCGUGGAGGAAGAAGGUCUUCGGAUUGUAAAACUCCUGUUGUUGAGGAAGAUAAUGACGGUACUCAACAAGGAAGUGACGGCUAACUACGUGCCAGCAGCCGCGGUAAU